AGGACGAACGCUUGCGACGUGCCUAAGAAAUGCAAGUCGAACGGACAGCAGCAAUGCUGUUAGUGGCGAACGGUCGCGUAACACGUGGGCAACCUGCCCUGAAGCGGGGGACAACAACUCGAAAGAGUUGCUAAUACCGCAUGUGAAUUGCUCUGGCAUCAGAGCGUAUUCAAAGCCGCAAGGCACUUCAGGAUGGGCCCGCGGCCUAUCAGCUUGUUGGUGAGGUAGUGGCUCACCAAGGCGACGACGGGUA
rnacentral:rRNA from 1 species